UGAAAAUGUACCUCUCUUGACUCGAAGUCUAUUAUUACUUUUUCCAGUAUCCCAUGUUACCCUGUGAAUAACUAUGAAGUUGAAGAUUUCAAUGACUAUGGAGCCACACAGAUAAGGAGCCACACAGAUGAUUUGCUUUCUUAUGAGUUUGGAGAGUUCUUUUGUAUAUCCUAGAUGCAAGUCCUUUAUCAGGUUGGGUGUGCAGGCGCUGGUAAGAUCCGUUCAUGAUCGCAAUGCUGUGAAGUUGCUGGCAGUAGAAACACUUUCCUACCUGCCUGAGGGCCAGUUUCUGGAUGGAGGAAAGGACUUGCUUCCACAUUGCUUGGGCCCAGCACUCCUACCGCUGGCUUUUCAAGUGCAGCUGAAUGGAACACACUGUGGGAAAACCACUAUCCCAUGCUAAUUUUCAGAGCCACUAGAAAUGAACAGAGUCUCUCUCCCUGCUCAGCAGGCUGGACAACAGCUUUCUUCUCACCAAGGCUAUCAUCGGUAAGGCCAACCACUUACAAAUACAGACCUCUGGUUACAAACUAUAGGAUGUUUCUGGAAAGUUCUGAAUAUGCUCUGCAAUUAAAGAGUCUGACUCUGCUGUCCCCCUGCUUAGACACAAUACCCCUUGACUUCAGUGGAUGUCCUGCAUGAGGGAAGACUCUGGGAUUUGCUUUUAAAGGAAUUUAAUCUGUUAAAUUGUUAAAGCUGGGAACUAGCCACAGACCCAUUGAAUAGCUCCUUUUCUUUUUGGGCUCCUAUGAAAUAAGAUGUCUAUUACCCAAAGAUGGGGCAGUGUUAAAAUAAAUAAUUUUAUACAAGGAAGAAUGAUUUUUUUUUCUUUAUGUCAGCUUAUUUAAAACUCUUUCUGUACCUCUGUGGAACACCCCAAUGCUAUUCUCUAAGAAAGAUGAAGAAUUAAGUUC